CAGAAACCUAUCAUUCUUCUCUGCCUCCGAAUGAAAAACUAAAACAGCUAGAGAAGAAAAUUAUUCAUCACCUCCGAAUCAACUCGAUCAACCCAUAAUCACUGCCCACACUAACCCAACCUUUCAAAUGGAUGAUUCUAUUAUAGAUGGUCCUGUUCAAGAUGGGGAUCGAAUGCAUGAGCAAUUCAGGGGGAUGGAUUCUUCAUUAAAUUGAGGAAGAUGAGAGGGAAUCUUAAGUAUUUGAUGCAGGCGGCUGAGAAGAGGCCCAUCCCAUUUUUUAGAAGUGUGUUGGUCUCUUAUUACCUAGAGUGAGUCCCAUCCCAUUUUUUAGAAUUGGAAAAUGUUGGUCUACUGUCGAUCAGUUUACUUGCCAAUGUCCCAUUUAUAUGGGAAGAGAUUUGUUGCGCCGAUCACAGAGAGAUGAAAUUUAUAUGCAACCAUACUGUGAUAUUAAUUGGAAUAAGGCUCGACAUGCCUGCGCUAAGCUCCUUUGGGGCCAUUAAAAACUACUGGAUGAAGUAGAGCGUGAUGUUUAGGAUGAAGAGUUACUUGAAAGUGUUACAGAAUAUGUGGGUUUGUAUACAUCACCAGGAGAAUGACGCAGUUGAAUCAUUUAAAGAGUCAAAAUUUGUUUUCGUGAUCGCAAGGACUGAGACCUGUCUGGAGGACAUUGGUGGACUGCAUGCAGCCACCAAUGGGUUAUUUCCCGAGGGCGGGGAAAAUGUUGUAGAUACGGGUGCCCCAACAUCCGUUAAGUUGACUUUGAAAAGGUUGUUGUGAUCGCAAACCAGCUCCUAGGGGAAUGAGAUUAGUUGUGAUCGCAAACCAGCAGCUGAAUCAAUUUUGUGAAUUACACCAGGAAUCCUCUUUUUAACUGAUAGCGCGCUUAAACUUAUUAUAUGCCAGUCUAUUGUGCAGAACACCAGAUCAUUUUCUGGGGUGUUGAUUAUUCGAUUAAUGGCUCCAUUAAAUAUUAUACCGUUCUAUUGUAUUUGUACCAGUGAACUGCUGACGUGCUUGCAGAACCAUAAAUACCCAGGAAGCUAAAAGACCAUUAUAUCUUGAAUAGUUUUAAUUGGCUUA